UAAACCAUAAUUCGUGGAUGGAUGAUCCAAUGGGGGCAUGACGGAUAAUGAAAGAUCCCAUAAAAUUUUAAUUAUUUUAUUUUUGACUCUCCUAGAGUGUAAUGUUGAUUUUUCACUUGAAUUUCUUUAGGGAUAUUAAAAGGGUAUUUAUGGAAAGUUUUGAAAUUUUUGGAAGGGGUUCAGGCUAAUUUUUGGACAAUGAAUCAUUAAUGCUCCAUGAUAGUGGUGUGCCACGGAG
rnacentral:lncRNA from 1 species